AACUUUCCCAAAACUGGUGAAUAGCCUUCCGAAAGGGAGAUUAAUACACCGUAAGAUGUAGGAGUGGCAUCACUCUUAUAUUAUAGCUCCGGCGGUUUUGGAUGGGCGUGCGGCUGAUUAGGUAGUUGGCGGGGUAACGGCCCACCAAGCCUGCGAUCAGUAACUGGUGUGAGAGCACGACCAGUCACACGGGCACUGAGACACGGGCCCGACUCCUACGGGAGGCAGCAGUAAGGAAUAUUGGUCAAUGGACGCAAGUCUGAACCAGCCAUGCCGCGUGAAG
rnacentral:rRNA from 1 species